AUGGAGGCGCUUUCUGAGAUUCGUGCUGAGGAGACUCGCUUACGUGGUGCUGGUUUGCUGGAGGUUCCCUCUGUGCUUGCUACUCGUGCUCCUACGCCACUUGCUCCACCGACCCCUUCUCGCUCGAGUGCUCCGCCGCUCUUGCCCACUCCUUCUGGAGGCUCAGGUCGCCCCUGUCCACAUUGCGCCUAUUGCAACAAUGAUGGUCAUUUUGAGUCUCAGUGCUACACGAAGAAGAAACACCUGCGCAAGGCUCGAUCAUCAUCUUCCGGGACUUCGUCAUCUACCUCGACAGCUUCAGCCAUUGCUUUGACUGAGCAGGAUAUUCUGAGACUUAAGCGUCUGCUCACGGCUUCAGGUUCUUCCUCGCCGGGUACUGCCGGUUCUGUGACUGAUGCUUCCCGCACUGAGCAAUCACCCUCUACACAGUCAGGUACAUCCCCCUGGGUUCUGGACUCUGGAGCUUCUUUUCAUAUGUCUUCUCAUUCUUCCACUUUGUCCUCUCUUCGAUCAUUGGAUUCUCCUAUUCAUGUCUUCACUGCUGAUGGUACUCCACUUUCUGUUGCUAGUAGAGGCAAUCUUACUACUCCUUCUUAUUUUGUUCCUGAUGUUGCUCAUGUUCCUCGACUUACUAUGAAUUUGUUUUCUGCUGGUCAACUUACGGAUUCUGGUUGUCGCGUCAUCCUUGACGUUGACUCUUGUUCUGUCCAGGACCGUCACACGCACACUCUGGUUGGGGCUGGCCCUCGCCGCCGUGAUUCUCAG
rnacentral:rRNA from 1 species